rnacentral:tRNA from 1 species
GGAUUGUAGCUCAGUGGUAGAGUGCUUGCCUCACCCGUGUGAGGCCCUAGGUUCGAUCCUCAGCACCA